rnacentral:rRNA from 1 species
UCAUAUACCUUUUGCAUAAUGGAUUAACAAAAAUUAAGUAAAUUCAUUUUCACGAAAGGAAGAGAGCUAAACAUAAUAUCUAUUAGCCUUAUAAUACGUAGUAGAGUAUUAUUAUAAUAUAUGUUUAGGGGUGAUAGGCCUUCCAAGCUUCCUUAUAACUUGUUCCAUAUGAAAAGUAUUUAGUACUAAAACAUACUUUAAAAGUUAAGCUUUAAAGUAAUUAUUAAAAAUAAUCUCUCUAUUUAAUAUAGUAUAAUAGCUAGUUAAUAUAAAACUUAAUAUAAUUUAUGUAUUUUUAUAGUUAAUAAUAUGGUUGUACUAUUUGAUUUAGCACUAGAAAAUGUUAAUAUUAGUAUUUUGAAAAGUAUGUUAAAGGAACUCGGCAAAAUAACCGCUCAACUGUUUAUCAAAAACAUAGCUAUAUGAUUUAAUAUAUAGUUAUUUCUGCUCCAUGAUAAUUAAAUAGCCGCAGUACCCUGACUGUGCAAAGGUAGCAUAAUCAGUUGGCUUUUAAUUAGAGUCUGGUAUGAAUGAAAAUAUGGGUGGUAACUGUCUCUGACAUAUUAAUUUGAACUUUUUUAGCAAGUGCAAAUACUUGCGAGGGUAAAAAAGACGAGAAGACCCUAGAAACUUGAAGUAGUUUUUGUUGGGGCGACAAAAUUACAUUUAACUGAUUGUAUAAAACAUGACAUUUAUUUGCAAGAAUAAGUUACUCUAGGGAUAACAGCAUAAUUUUAACAGUUUGUGACCUCGAUGUUGGAUUAGGUAUUAUAUUCUUAAGGUAAGAAUAUAAAAUGCUCUGUUCGAGCAGUUUCACCUACAUGAUCUGAGUUCAGACCGG